rnacentral:lncRNA from 1 species
CUUUGAGAAAGCUGAAGCGAUCAGCACCCUGAUUAACCUCUGAUAUUCACGUGGUGCUCUUGAUCUUGAGGACUGCAGCAGUAACAAAGCGGUUUGGUGUGGAGAUUACUGGUGAAGAGUUUGAGUUGCUACUUGACAGAAUCCCCCUUGAUGAAGAUGGAAAUGUCAGAUGCCUCCAAUUCACGGCCAUGUUGGAUUCUCGAAGUUAUUUAAAAUAA